UGCGCAGGCGGUUAUACAAGACAGGCGUGAAAUCCCCGGGCUUAACCUGGGAAUUGCGUCUGUGACUGUAUGGCUAGAGUGUGUCAGAGGGGGAUAGAAUUCCACGUGUAGCAGUGAAAUGCGUAGAUAUGUGGAGGAAUACCAAUGGCGAAGGCAGCCCCCUGGGAUAACACUGACGCUCAUGCACGAAAGCGUGGGGAGCAAACA
rnacentral:rRNA from 1 species